ensembl:lncRNA
GAGCUGUCAAGGUCAGGGGAGCUCUGCUUGUGGAUGAAGAGAAUGAGUCCCUCCUCAGCGGUGAUGUGCCUGGGAUGGUUUUCAGAAAUGGUCAAAAAGGGAAAUACUCAAGUAUUUUCAUCUUACGCUUCCAGGUUGUGUCUGAGUGUUGCAGAAAAUGGGCAGAUGUUUGGAACUGAAACUGGUUCUUAUGAGGGACCUGUGGCUUGGAGAUUACCCCUCAGCACCGCUGUAGGGGAAGCUGAUGCAUCACCCUGAGCUGCUUGUGCCAAAAAAAUCUGCAUCAGGUGACACGACGGAAAAGGAGAGCUCUGAAGCAUCCAGAAUCCCAGAAAGGCGUCUUGCGGGGCUACAGGAUGUACGGGACAGGCCUCUCCCUAAGCAUAGAGAGAGAGUGCUAUCGUGCUGACCUUGAUGCAGAGAAAACAGGAGAAGAAGAAGGAUGAG